UAGAAAAUGAAAAUUCAUUCAAUUCACUGAAUACAUUCAAUUCAUUGAAUACAUUCGUUUGCAAAGAGGAACAAGUUAGAAGAGAGCAGCUGAAGAAAUAUUUGAGAUAAAGCCGACUACUAACAAGUGCCCAAACCUCAGGAGUCCCUAGUUUUGGGACAUUCCAAGUAUAGAAAGGUUAUCGCCAAUACAAUUCAUAUUCCACAAUCGGUUCCUUCCAAA
rnacentral:lncRNA from 1 species